CCCUUAGAUGUCCUGGGCCGCACGCGCGUUACACUGAUGCAUUCAGCGAGCUUAUAACCUUGGCCGAGAGGCCUGGGCAAUCUUGUUAACGUGCAUCGUGAUAGGGAUAGAUUAUUGAAAUUAUUAAUCUUGAACGAGGAAUUCCUAGUAAACGCAGAUCAUCAAUCUGCAUUGAUUACGUCCCUGCCCUUUGUACACACCGCCCGUCGCACCUACCGAUUGGAUGGUCCGGUGAAGCCUCGGGAUUGUGGUUCUUGCCGCUUUAUUGUGGCGUGACCGCGAGAACUUGUCUAAACCUUAUCAUCUAGAGGAAGGUGAAGUCGUAACA
rnacentral:rRNA from 1 species